rnacentral:rRNA from 1 species
AGGCUUUGAUCCUGGCUCAGGAUGAACGCUGGCGGUCUGCUUAACACAUGCAAGUCGAGCGGGGUUCUUCGGAACAUAGUGGCGGACGGGUGAGUAACGCGUGAGAAUCUGCCCUUAGGAGGGGGAUAACGACUGGAAACGGUCGCUAAUACCCCAUAUGCCGAGAGGUGAAACGGUGAAUUCCGCCUGAGGAUGAGCUCGCGUCUGAUUAGCUAGUUGGUGGGGUAAGAGCCUACCAAGGCGACGAUCAGUAGCUGGUCUGAGAGGAUGACCAGCCACACUGGGACUGAGACACGGCCCAGACUCUACGGGAGGCAGCAGUGGGGAAUUUUCCGCAAUGGGCGCAAGCCUGACGGAGCAAGACCGCGUGGGGGAAGACGGUUUGUGGAUUGUAAACCCCUUUUGACCGGGAAGAAGCCUGACGGUAUUGUGUCGAAUCAGCCUCGGCUA